CCGGGUGUCAGUCACUGCAGACAUCACUGCAGACACAGAGAUGGCCAUUAGAGCUCACCACCCCGGGUGUCAGUCACUGCAGACAUCACUGCAGACACAGAGACGGCCAUUAGAGCUCACCACCCCGGGUGUUAGUCACUGCAGACAUCACUGCAGACACAGAGACGGCCAUUAGAGCUCACCACCCCGGGUGUUAGUCACUGCAGACAUCACUGCAGACACAGAGACGGCCAUUAGAGCUCACCACCCCGAGCGUUAGUCACUGCAGACAUCACUGCAGACACAGAGACGGCCAUUAGAGCUCACCACCCCAGGUGUUAGUCACUGCAGACAUCACUGCAGACACAGAGACGGCCAUUAGAGCUCACCACCCCAGGCGUUAGUCACUGCAGACAUCACUGCAGACACAGAGACGGCCAUUAGAGCUCACCACCCCAAGUGUUAGUCACUGCAGACAUCACUGCAGAC
rnacentral:lncRNA from 1 species